GACGAACGCUGGCGGCGUGCUUAACACAUGCAAGUCGAACGGAAAGGCCCUGCUUUUGUGGGGUGCUCGUGUGGCGAACGGGUGAGUAACACGUGUGUAACCUGCCCUUGACUUUGGGAUAACUUCAGGAAACUGGGGCUAAUACCGGAGAGGAUCUCCUGCUGCAUGGUGUUGGUUGGAAAGUUUCGGCGGUUGGGGAUGGUCUCGAGGCUUAUCAGCUUGUUUGUGGGGUAGUGGCUUACCAAGGCUUUGACGGGUAGCCGGCCUGAGAGGGUGACCGGCCACCUUGGGACUGAGAUACGGCCCAGACUCCUACGGGAGGCAGCAGUGGGGAAUAUUGCACAAUGGGCGGAAGCCUGAUGCAGCAACGCCGCGUGCGGGAUGACGGCCUUCGGGUUGUAAACCGCUUUCGCCUGUGACGAAGCGUGAGUGACGGUAAUGGGUAAAGAAGCACCGGCUAACUACGUG
rnacentral:rRNA from 1 species